ensembl:rRNA 5S_rRNA 5S ribosomal RNA
GUUUACGGCCACACCGCCUGGUAUACGCUUGAUCUCGGAAGAUAAGAUAGGUUGGGCCUGGUUAGUACUUUGAUGGGAGACCGCCUGGGAAUACCAGGUGCUGUAAGCU